rnacentral:rRNA from 1 species
GACGAACCGAGCGAACGUUGUUCGGAAUCACUGGGCUUAAAGGGCGCGUAGGCGGAUGUGUCAGUCAGGGGUGAAAUCCCGGGGCUCAACCUCGGAACUGCCUUUGAUACAGCACGUCUUGAGUCCGAGAGAGGUGGAUGGAAUUCCUAGUGUAGAGGUGAAAUUCGUAGAUAUUAGGAAGAACACCGGUGGCGAAGGCGGUCCACUGGCUCGGUACUGACGCUGAGGUGCGAAAGCGUGGGGAGCAAACAGG